rnacentral:rRNA from 1 species
AACGUAGGAGACAAACGUUAUCCGGAGUUACUGGGCGUAAAGGGCGUGUAGGCGGUUUGUUAAGUCUGGCGUGAAAGCUCUCGGCUAAACCGGGAGAGGUCGUGAGUACUGGCAGCUAGAGGAGCGGUAGAGGCGUGUGGAAUUCCGGGUGUAGUGGUGAAAUGCGUAGAGAUCCGGAGGAACACCAGUGGCGAAGGCGACACGCUGGGCCGUACCUGACGCUAAAGCGCGACAGCAUGGGGAGCGAACGGG